GACGAACGCUGGCGGCGUGCCUAACACAUGCAAGUCGAACGGGGUAGCAAUACCCAGUGGCGGACGGGUGCGUAACACGUGAGGAACAUGUCUUUCGGCGGGGAAGUAGCCGGCCUAACGCCGGGUAUACCGCGUACGACGAUCGGGGCGGCAUGCCUUGAUCGUGAAAGCAGCAAUGCACCGAUAGAGUGCCUCGCGGCCUAUCAGCUAGUUGGUGAGGUAAUGGCUCACCAAGGCGACGACGGGUAGCUGGUCUGAGAGGAUGAUCAGCCACAUUGGGACUGAGACACGGCCCAGACUCCUACGGGAGGGCAGCAGUGGGGAAGUAUUGCGCAAUGGGCGAAAGCCUGACGCAGCGACGCCGCGUGU
rnacentral:rRNA from 1 species